UACAGAGGUGGCAAGCGUUGUUCGGAAUUACUGGGCGUAAAGGGCGCGUAGGCGGCCAUCUAAGUCAGACGUGAAAUCCCCCGGCUUAACCUGGGAACUGCGUCUGAGACUGGAAGGCUUGAGUAUGGGAGAGGGAUGUAGAAUUCCAGGUGUAGCGGUGAAAUGCGUAGAUAUCUGGAGGAACACCGGUGGCGAAGGCGGCUUCCUGGACCGACACUGACGCUGAGGCGCGAAAGCUAGGGGAACAAACGGG
rnacentral:rRNA from 1 species